UUCAAAGGUUAUAUGAUGGUCGGCAGAGAAAGAAAAAAACAACUUUUCAAUUAUCCUGCUCCUGGAUAAAUGUAAAACAUCUUGUUUUUUGGACAAGAACUAUAGAAGAUACAGAGAAAUUAUAAACAGCAGAAAUGAUAGGCAAUUUAAAAUUUGCAGAAGCAAACUAAACCUAAAUGGUGAUCAGACAUCUUGGUUUUCAUGAUCAAUAGGUCAUUACUGAAGAGGAAACUUAAAGUUGAAAUUAAUUUACAAAGUGCAUAAUUGGAUUAAUUUGAACUGGAAUGUAUACUUUCCUGCAAAAAAGAAACAGGAAAUUUCAUCAUUAUCACAUGAUAAUGCCCAUAAACAAAAUGGAGUUUUAUCAUAGAUACACAAAAACACUAUUGCAUAAAAGCAACAACAUAUUAUAUAUAUUAAUCGAAAGAAAGGAGAAUGCAGAACAAAUACUAUUUUGUUGUUGAAAAAGGAACACCAGUUUUAUCCACUCAUUUACAUCGCUCCCUCAUAUCAAAUAUACGGAAGAAGAUCUUGAAGAUCAAUUUGCAAAAAUGUUUUCUCUUAGAACUGAAGAAAAAUGUUAAGUGAAUGGAAUAAUGUAUUCACUGAAUUCUUACGUAGUGAAUUGAAUAACUGUACACAAGUUGAAACAGAAGAAAAUUUUAAUUUAAAAUAACACGAAAAGUGUUUAUUUUAUUAUUUAAUCUGCAAACAUAUAAACAAAUUCUUUAGAACACCACAAAUGGUAUGACAUUCAAAUUGGUUGCUUAUUAAUGUAUUGCAUUGAAACAAUUACAAAGAAAACAGAAUCAUUUGCUACAAAAAAAAAUUAUAAAUCAAAGUUAAAUUUUAUAAAAAGUAUGAACAAUACCUAGAUCUAAACAGUCAGACUUUAUCAAUUUUCAAUGUCAUUAAAAAAUGUUGAGUCAAACAUUUAUGAAAGUUUUGAAUAUCAUUUGCAUCAACUAUACAGUCUUGUAAUAAUU